rnacentral:lncRNA from 11 species
CUUCGGUCUUUCUCUCCAGUACUAGGACCCAAAAUAGCUCAGGAUCCGUGCGCUCGACAGAAACUCUUUCUCCUCAAACCUCGUCUGCAACGCAAUACAGACAGUGGGAUCACGCUGUCCCCAGAGACUCGGUUCCAGAAAAGGGAGAAGCAAAAAGGCGAAGAGAAGCAGAAUACGGAGAUGCAAGUCGAAGAGGAAAGGAGACGGGAAUCAAGGAGGUGUUCCCAAACCGACGACCCUUUACGGCCUGGUCGGGAUUUUUGCAAUUUGUUCCGCACUGAAGCCAAGUCAGAAGAGCGACAACUUUAAAAAAGCAAAUGUCUAAUCUCAACCUAGUUUGAAAAGCUGUGGCCUCCAACGUUGGGUCCUU